AGCUCCCGUGUGCCAUGCCGGGCAUGAGAGAAACUGCAGGCCGAAAUUGUUUUAAAAAAUAGAAAAGAAGGGAAACCGAAAUGCAAAUUCGAAGUAUUUUGUUGGUAUCAUACUUUAUGUUACUGAUGAUUUCCUUUUGAUAUGGCUAUGGAAUCUGCACUCUUACGAAACUCUCUUCUUCUUCUUCCUUCCCACGCUCAGAAUCGCUUCAGUUUUGCCCCAUUUUCGAUCUGCUUGGUUAAUUAUUCUUCCUAGCAUUUGCUAGUAGAUCUGUAGCAGUUGAUUAUGGCAGACACAAGUUCAGUAGAUGUGAUUCUGGACUUUCUGCGAAGAAAUGGCUUCACCAGAGCUGAGGCAGCAUUAUGCAGUGGGCUUAGUAAGCGCCCUGAUUUGAAUGGAUUUCUUAAAAAACUUACCCUUGAAGACAAGGAAUUGGGAAAGGUGUUGGAUGAGGAGAAUGGGAGCAAACAUGUAACUGAUAAUCAGGUGCUUGGUUCUCAAAAUAGCUUUGAAGUUUCUAAUGAACUUAUUAUUAAAGAAAUAGAGUGUGGAACAAGUGGAAAUGGUUCUGAAAGCAAAUGGAGAAAAUCUGCUUUGGUUGGAGAGUGAAGUGGUAAGCCUAAUGAAGCAAUUGGCACAAUUGAUUCUGAGGAUAGUGUCCUUGAUUUAUAUUCGUGGAACUUUAAUGCUCGCAUUGGUCAUUCUUCUGAACCUUACCAAAAUGAUGGUGGUCCAACUGAUAACUGCUCUAGUAGAGCAAUUGCAAAAUCUGGAGAAGAGGUUGUCUUCUCUGGUGAAAAGAGGGGUUUGUGGCCUGGAAGCACAAGUACUAUUAAUGCUAAAGCAGAAUCCAAGUAUGAAAGAAUUCCAACUAGUGAAUCAAAGGAACCUGAUCAGCAACUUAAGACUCCUGUUGCAUACUCUGUAGAAAACACGUCGUUUAGAAGUGAGGACACUAGCACUGCAACAACAUGGAAAGAUUGUCCUGUCAAGACUGUUUUUCCUUUUCCCAAGGGGGAUGUAUCAACCAGUUAUGAUGUCAAUGCUAGUUUGGACAAAUGAGAAGAAAAGAAGAAAACAGACAUAGGUGAUGUUAGGGUGGCAAUCAAAGAGCAGGUGGAUGAGGUUGCAAGAGCUUUAUACUUUGGGAAGUCUCAGGGGAGUACAGAGCAAAAGAAUUUAAGUGGCUUAAGUUUUUCUCUUGCAUCUAAUAAUCCAAAGGAAGAAUUCCCAAGGCUUCCACCUGUUAAACUCAAGUCAGAAGACAAACCAUUGAACAUUAAUUGGCAGGAAAAGUUUGAGCGUGAUGGGCCAGUUGUGAAGCACAGCAGUACUGAUAAUACUUUCCUUAUUGGGUCAUAUCUCGAUGUUCCUGUUGGACAAGAAAUCAACUCUUCAGGCAGGAAUUCCUCGUUCACCUAAUUAUAUGAUUCAGCCAAGGAAUUCAAGAAAAUUCACAUUCAAAUACUCAACAGACUUAGGAUUAUGUUUCAGUUUUAAUUUAGAACUUAUUGUGGAAAUUAUUGAGUACUUUUUAAUACUUUUAGAGUUUUACUUAUGUGUCUUUUUUAAUAUAUCAGUUACCGGUUCUUUAUUUAAGUCACAUGGAUAUUUUUGUAAUUUUAGAAUUGUUGGAAAGUUAUCUAGAUUUCUGUAGGAGUUUUUACUUAGUGUCCUUGUUGGUUAAGGGUACUUUUUGGAAGUCCAGAUCCUUAGAUGUUCAGGAUUACUUUUUGAGUUUAUAAAUGCAUAUGUUUGUAAUGUUGUUUCUAAGUUUUUGAUCAAUACAAUUUCCAGCAGUCAUACUUCAAGUUGUGUGAUGCAA